GAGCGAGCUUGUAUGGAAUUGUUCUCAACAAUCUUCAAGAUGCAGAGAAACUGAAGAAAAAGAAGAAAAUCCUCCACGGCAAUUUCAUCAACCCAUGAACGCUAUGGAAAUAAAUGAAAUCAAGUUCGUCAAGCUUUUUAGGCUGAAUAAGCAGCUGGUGCUCCAAUUGAUAGAAAAGUUGACGCCCUAUCUUCAAGCAAUAUAGAAAUAUAUCUGAAAACAAUAUAGAAAUAGUAUUUGAGAAACCAGUUCAACUAUAAAUAGAUUUAAUUGAUCAUUAUAAGAAUAAAUGAAUGAAUACAGACAAA